AUUGAACGCUGGCGGCAGGCUUAACACAUGCAAGUCGAGCGGUAACAGAGAGAAGCUUGCUUCUCUGCUGACGAGCGGCGGACGGGUGAGUAAUGCCUAGGAGUCUGCCUAGUAGUGGGGGAUAACUUGCCGAAAGGUAAGCUAAUACCGCAUACGUCCUACGGGAGAAAGGAGGGGACCUUCGGGCCUUUCGCUAUUAGAUGAGCCUAGGUCGGAUUAGUUAGUUGGUGAGGCAAUGGCUCACCAAGACCGCGAUCCGUAACUGGUCUGAGAGGAUGAUCAGUCACACUGGAACUGAGACACGGUCCAGACUCCUACGGGAGGCAGCAGUGGGGAAUAUUGGACAAUGGGGGGAACCCUGAUCCAGCCAUGCCGCGUGUGUGAAGAAGGUCUUAGGAUUGUAAAGCACUUUAAGUUGGGAGGAAGAGCAGUUAACUAAUAUUUGACUGUUUUGACGUUACCGACAGAAUAAGCACCGGCUAACUUCGUGCCAGCCGCCGCGGUAA
rnacentral:rRNA from 1 species